GGGGUUGUGGCUCAGUGGUAGAGCAGUCACCUAGCAUGUGCAACGUGCUGGCUUCAAUCCUCAGCACCACA
rnacentral:tRNA from 1 species